rnacentral:rRNA from 1 species
ACUCCUACGGGAGGCAGCAGUGGGAAUAUUGCACGAAUGGGCGCAAGCCUGAUGCAGCCAUGCCGCGUGUGUGAAGAAGGGCCUUCGGGUUGAUAAAGCACUUUCAGUGCGUGAGGAAUGGUAGUAGUAGUUAAUAGCUGCAUUAUUUGACGUUAGCGACAGAAGAAGCACCGGCUAACUCCGUGCCAGCAGCCGCGGUAAUACGGAGGGUGCGAGCGUUAAUCGGAAUUACUGGGCGUAAAGCGCAUGCAGGUGGUUUGUUAAGUCAGAUGUGAAAGCCCGGGGCUCAACCUCGGAAUUGCAUUUGAAACUGGCAGACUAGAGUACUGUAGAGGGGGGUAGAAUUUCAGGUGUAGCGGUGAAAUGCGUAGAGAUCUGAAGGAAUACCGGUGGCGAAGGCGGCCCCCUGGCACAGAUACUGACACUCCAGAUG